rnacentral:rRNA from 1 species
GAUUUCUGGCACGUCACCUCUUGCCGGCCACGGUUUCGUGUGUCAGUGCUGGAGGUUCGGGCCAUCCUUCCAAUCGCUGUUGGUUGCUCUUCACUGAGCGACCAGCGGUAUUGGAUCUUUUACUUUGAAAAAAUUAGAGUGUUUAAAGCAGGCUUUUGCUAUGAAUACAUUAGCAUGGAAUAAUAAUCUAGGACUUCGGUUCUAUUUUGUUGGUUUCUAUAACUGAAGUAAUGAUUGAUAGGGAUAGUUGGGGGUGCUAGUAUUGGCCGGCCAGAGGUGAAAUUCUUGGAUUCGGUCAAGACUAACUUAUGCGAAAGCAUU